rnacentral:rRNA from 1 species
UACAGAGGUCCCGAGCGUUGUUCGGAUUCACUGGGCGUAAAGGGUGCGUAGGUGGUUGGGUAAGUUUGAUGUGAAAGCUCAGGGCUUAACCCUGAAAUGGCAUUGAAUACUACUUAACUGGAGGCUUGGAGGGGGGACUGGAAUUCUUGGUGUAGCGGUGAAAUGCGCAGAUAUCAGGAGGAACACCGAUGGCGAAGGCAGGUCUCUGGGCCACUACUGGACGCUGAGAAGCGAAAGCAUGGGGAGCGAACAGG